GACGAACGCUGGCGGCGUGCUUAACACAUGCAAGUCGAACGGAAAGGCCCUGCUUUUGUUGCGUGCUCGAUUGGCGAACGGGUGUGUGUCACGUGAGGAUCCUGCCCUUGACUUUGUGAUAACUUCUGGAAACUGGGGCUAAUACCGGAUAGGAGCUACUGCUGCAUGGUGGGGGUUGGAAAGUUUCGGCUGUUGGGGAUGGAUUCGCGGCUUAUCAGCUUGUUGGUGGGGUAGUGGCAUACCAAGGGUUUGACGGGUAGCCGGCCUGAGAGGGUGGACGGGCACCAGACGCCUGAGGGAGGGACCAGAAGGCUAUGGGAGGCAGUGGUCGAGAGCAUUACAGAGUGGGCGGGAGUCUGAGGCAGAAACGUUCGGUGCGGGAUGACGGGCUUUGGGUUGUAAACAGAUUUGGACGGUGACAAGGCGUGCGUGACGGUAAUGGGUAAAGAAGCAACGGCUAACUACGUG
rnacentral:rRNA from 1 species